rnacentral:misc_RNA from 1 species
AAAAAUGGUCCAUAUCUUAUUUUCGAAGCAGCCACUACAACUGUAUUUUCUCCUUAGAGAGAUGCAAAAAAAGGAAAAGACAAGGAUAUACUACACUAGGGAAAUUUCUCUGACUAAGAAGAAUAAAUGUAUAAAUAUCUACAACCAAUUCUAAGCCAGACUUUGAAGAUCAUCAGGUUGCCACAUCCGAAUGCCUGAAUUCUGCAAUGCCGCAAGAAUAAAAAUGAUUCCACCGGUGGGCAACAAUAAUCAAAGAAGCAGCAACUAUCUAGCAUAAAUAGUCUUGGGCCUCUUGGCACAACUCAGCAAGGCAGAAUAGAUUGCCAGAGUCAGCGAUUGACGAGACCCUGCAGUGCCAGUUCAUCAAAACAAUGGAAUCGUCCACCUUCAUGCCUUGGAACUAGUCCGAACAAAGUUAAGGCGAGUGAGAUAAUUGCUUUCAGCGAAAUCAUGUAAUGUGCGUGGUGCUCGUGCUCCAUCAUGACCCAGUUUACCAUAUUCUUCCUUCAACAACCUCCUACCUUCAUCAGCCUCCUGUAAGAACUUCAUCAUUUGCUCCUCAAUUGUGCCACUCAUCGCCAGUGUUUCCACGAGAAUAGGACGUGUAGCACCCAUCCGAUGAGCACGACUGAUCACCUGUUCCUCCAUACUUUUGUCCCAAAUUGGCUCCAUUAAAUAAACAUGUGUCACAAAGCUCAGAUCAAGACCUAAAGCUGCACUUCCGUCCAUUAAAAGAGCCAUGCAGUCAACAUCAUGCUGAAAUGUUAACAGUGCUUUCACCUUGCUAAUGGAAGGCAUUGGACUAUACAAACUGGCAAAACUGAUACCAGCAAUUGCUAACUGCUGUUCAAUUACAUGUAUGUGCUCCAGAAACUGAGAAAAUAUGAUAACUUUCUGUGGAUUUAUAUUGCAGAAAUCAUUUGCUGGCCCAACCAAAUACUGCUGCGAUGAAAACAUGCUGAAAUUGUUUAUCCUAGUAUGUACAUGAGAUACACUAGUCUCAACAAUUUUGUCCUCGUUAGAGAUAAUAAUCAUCCUAUUAGCUUCCUUUAUUUCCUUUAAUCUACCAACAAGAUAAGCAACUUUACUGCUAGAUGUUGAUUG